CUUGCUGGUCUCUGUAAGGUGUGUGCCCUUAAUAUUAGGGGGUUAGUGGAGUCUGUUUACACAUAAUGCUGUUGUGUGGUAACUCGGAAGGCCAAAGAAUAAUCAGAAGCCACCCACACGUCACGCAGUUCCAUUAGUCUGAUUUAUAGCGGCCAUUGGACCUGCUGCAUCAGCUCAAGGAGAACGAGCCUUCCUGUGGGUCGGUUUUAAAAGGGGAUUUCCAGAAACUGUUUUGGACACAACUUUAUUAAGUAUUUGGAUUGACAGAGUGCCUAGAUGACCUCGGCAACCAGCACCUCCCACCAAUGCACCCCCAGUCCUUCUCAGUGGCUGCUGCUCUCUGGGAAAAAAAAAGUGAAAAAAAGAGAUGGCCGACGGCUGCCCUGGCUUGCUGUAGCUGUAACAGGACAGGAAAUCAGGAGAAAGGGAGGAGCGUGAUAAGAAAUGCUAAGAUAACAAAUAAAAUGGACCCCAAAGGAGACUGGAGGCUAAGCCGAGCAGAGGAGACUCACGUUCCUUGUUAAAGGGGAAGGAAAGUCUUUUUAACUUGUGGGUGCCACAAUUUAGGCAUCCCAAGUGAUUUUAUUUACUUAACUGAUAACCCAGGCUCCUGUCAACAGAAAACUGCACCGGCCCAGGGUUCUUCCAGAGAUCACCACAGAGUGAUUCUCUUUUUCCACUUCUUCAGACAUAACUGCACAGUGGUGUGAAAUAGCUGUUUUUUUUCUGUUGUUAAAGUAUGGCUUUUUACUCUGCUGUGUAUGCACAGCUGCGGGAAUAAAGAAUAAGCAUGAACAGGAUCCCUCUGUGUAGCUCACUGGGCCUCUGCAGUUUUCUGUUGAUAGGAGCAGCAGCCCUGGGUAUAUACAAUCACUUAGAGCUGCCUAACUUUUGGUACCUUCAAGUAAAAAACUUGCUUCUCCUUUAAAGGCAGGGGAUAUCUCACAUCUUUGCCUGUGUGAUGUCAUGAAAGCCCAAAGAGGAAGUUCUGGACUGAAGAGCUACUGCACAUUCCUUUCCUCUCCUGCUUCAUUUGCACGUCUUCGACCCAACUGGCUGGCAAGAUUUUACAUAAGAGAAUUAAUUUAAUUUAUGUUCCAGAAUAUGACUUUGAUUUUAUCAUUAUAAUCAAUUGAAAUGUACUAUGCCACAAAAGAGAUCAUAUUCAGUUAAUCUAUCCAUAGAAAAAUAUAUAUAUAUAUAUAUAAAUGUCAGCACAAAAGAAACCAAAAAUAAACAUUAAGAAACAUGUUCUGCAUUCUCUAAUGAACCAGUGUGGCAGAAGAUUUAGGGGUAGAUUUAUCAAAAAAAAGCUCACCACAAAAAAAAAACUUUAUAUUCAUUCCUGUGAUUUUUAAGAAGCAUAUUUAUCAAUGGAUGAAAGUUACAGUUCACCAUUUGAUAAAUACACUUAUAGGAAUGACUAGAAAGGGGAUGAGUUUUUUGUGGUGAGCUCUGAUGUCACAUUAAGGGGCCUAUCUAUUAUGCUGUGUAAAUGGAGGGUGAAGACACGCAGAGCUACUAGUAGCAGCUACUUGACACAUCUACAAAAUAGACAAUAGUGAUUAUUGGCGUAGCUAAGACACUACAUGUGUUUUAGCAGAGGCAAGUCUUAGUAUUGUCUAUGGCAGGAUACGUUUUUGGCUUUUUGUAGCUGCUACUAGUGGCCCUGUGUGUUUUCACCCUAAACGUUGUGUAAAAUAAACAGCAAAUUCCUCAAUGUUUGUGCGCCUUCCAAAUUCCACAUUUGGCGGCAUUAGAAAAGUAGAAUGCAUGAUAAGUGCACCUUUUUUUCCUUUUGAUGUGUGGGGAAUUUGAAUGUUGUUUCUUUGCUGUAUUUUUACACAACAGUAAAUAUUACCCGUAGUGUCAGUCAAUCGUUCAAGUGUCCAUUGCUAAUUGAUGUGAAAGGGAUAUGCUCUUAGUUAGAGAGGAUCUGGAUAAUUGGCUAUAGAUAUUUUUCAUUGUCCUUUUAUUUGAUAGGGCUGAAAACUCUGCUCCCUGAAUAUCGCAUAAUCAUCUUUUAGCUUUGGUAGGGAGUCAUCAGUUACCAGAGAGAGAAUCUGAUAGUAAUAAAGCAAGCAAGUCUUUAUAAAGUUCAAGAAUGCCAUUGAAACAUACAUUUUAUCUUCUGGACCUGUUUUCCCAAUACUUAGCUUUUCUUGCUAACUGUUUAAACUUUUUUUCCUAGAUACAACAAUUUAUUUUUUGUGGAGGAAGAGUUAUCUUCUAUGAAAGGAAUGCUGUCUUCCAUCUCUAAAACAGUCAUUUUGGAGUACACAAGCCUGUCCCACAAAAGUUUUGGAAGGUCGAAGAGGCUAGAACAUUACCGGUUGGAUGGAGCCAGGGCAUACCUAAUAAUGCACAGCUAAGACUUCAUGACAGAACAGUUAGAUGAAUACAGAAAAUGGGACUACUGAAAUAUUUACCUUGACUGAAGCGGAGUAAGUACACUUGACAGCUGGAGUAUCAAAGCAGGGGAAGAAGGAGCGGUUACAGACAGAGUGUCCCUGAGUGAAG